GGCAGGCAGUGGGACGCCCCCGGCAUUGCCGGGUCGUUCGGAAGAGGAGGUAUUAAGGCUUAGGCUCCCGCGAGGGAGGGGGACGCGCCGGGCUUGGGCUCCCUCGGGGUGCUGUCCCGCCGUUAUUAGUAACUGCGUAUUUCCUACGCGAUGGCGGAGGUGGGCGGCUUGGCUCCGCUCGUGGCUCUAGCACACCCUCCUGUGCAGUGUUCGUUCCUUCAACCCCCUCCGUUUCCCUUCUGAGGCAUUUUACUGGGACAGGAGAGAAGUAGGUAAUCAAACUGACAUUACACCCUUGUGAAGGAGGCUUGGGAUAAUUACGCAUGGCACAGAGCCCCAAACACUUUUCAUGGGGAAGGUGGAGCAUGUUUCCAAAGGCUGCUGAUUAUGAUUCUGAAGUAGAGCUCGUCGUCCAAACCAAGAAGCUGCCCUAAUGAUCAGCUAGUUGUGGCCUCCUGUUACUUUCUCACACCACUUUUUAACCUAUGGGCGUGAUAUAGCCAUACACUAGCUGCUUCUGAUUUUAGGAGUGUGGCAGUACAAACUCUGUGCAGAGAAACUUUGGCUUUCAUUUUCCCUUCAGAUAAUUUCACCUUUCUUAGAUCCUGCUUAAUCAUGCAAAGCUUAUGCUAAUUUCUGCCUGAAAAAAGGUCUCUAGUUAGUUAUUGAAUUUCAUG